ACUGAACGCUGGCGGCAGGCCUAACACAUGCAAGUCGAGCGGAUGACGGGAGCUUGCUCCUUGAUUCAGCGGCGGACGGGUGAGUAAUGCCUAGGAAUCUGCCUGGUAGUGGGGGACAACGUUUCGAAAGGAACGCUAAUACCGCAUACGUCCUACGGGAGAACGCAGGGGACCUUCGGGCCUUGCGCUAUCAGAUGCGCCUAGGUCGGAUUAGCUAGUUGGUGAGGUAAUGGCUCACCAAGGCGACGAUCCGUAACUGGUCUGAGAGGAUGAUCAGUCACACUGGAACUGAGACACGGUCCAGACUCCUACGGGAGGCAGCAGUGGGGAAUAUUGGACAAUGGGCGAAAGCCUGAUCCAGCCAUGCCGCGUGUGUGAAGAAGGUCUUCGGAUUGUAAAGCACUUUAAGUUGGGAGGAAGGGCAGUAAGUUAAUACCUUGCUGUUUUGACGUUACCAACAGAAUAAGCACCGGCUAACUCUGUGCCAGCCGCCGCCGUAACAC
rnacentral:rRNA from 1 species